rnacentral:lncRNA from 1 species
ACGCUAAAGUACGAUGGUGUCUCACGCUAAAGUGCGUUGGUUGUUUGUUCGCUAAAGUACGAUGGUGUAUCACGCUAAAGUGCGAUGGUCCAAAGGGUAAGAUUCGAGGGGUUAAAACAUCGAGGUUAAAAAAGUUUUGCAAAGCUAGUAUGCUAAAGUAUAACAUAUGUGAUAGGCUUUAUAAUUUUCCGGUAGGCUUAAGUGAUUGUUUCUAAAUAAACAAGUUCUACGAAGUAAUAAUUGCUAUGAAGGUACUAAUUUAUGUGUCGCAAAAUAUUAAAUUUCAUGUAAAAUGAAUUUUUAACAAUUUGGAGCGUAUUCAUAGUAUUGAAUAUUUGGAUAAUUGGUAUAUAUUGUCAUUCACACCAAUGUUACAACCUUCCUUACAGUCGUCAUUGAAAAAUUAUAAAUACAAAAUUCGUUCAUUGUCGGAAUAUGCAACAUUUAUUCUUUUAUUUAUAAGCUUUUAAUCAUGUCAAAUGCGAUAGAAAGGCAAUGUUCGCCUAGCUUCCUUUUUCUUAGCGAGAACAAAUACAUGUUUUAUUUUCCUACAAUGUACAGUACAAACAAAUGUUUAAGCAGAAAAUUUAUAAUUCACACAUGAAAACAUGUAUGUCUAUUUUACCGUCGGACGUAUCUUUUAUUAAAAUCGACAGCAUUUUAACGAGGAUCAAAAAGUAAACUGCCACAUAAACAAUGCUUCAAAUGUAUCCGUUUGCUUCUAAUAGAAGUAAGAUAAGUAUGCGUAUACUGUUUUGUAUGUAUUUAGUAAAUUUGUUCACUACAGAAUACAAGUCCUUCCAGCACUCGAAAAAAAUAAACAUUGCGCUACAGCCGACAAAGAACGGUUAAGUUUAAAUCAAUUACUAGUAUUAAAGUCCUGGACAUUUAUUGAAAAAAUUGUUAAUAAAAUAUUCUGAAUCUAUC